UGUUUUUGUGCUACGUAACCAAAGAUGAUGGAAAAUAUUCUCUUCAUGUUUUUUUAAAGUGUUACAGGCACUCGUGUUUUUUCAAGUACUAUACUUUUUUCCUCACUCACAUUUAUUACUUCUCAAUAAACUAUUAACCUCACUAUUUUUCUUUUGCAAAUUUUUAUUACUCUAUUGAACUCCUAAAACUAUGUACCGGUCAAAGUGUACCACUUAAAAAUCAUGAAGGGAAUAAUAAUGUUGAUAAUAUUUGUUUUAUAGAAAAUACAAUAGUAAAAAAAAAAGGAAAUUUUGAAAAUAACCACCCAUAAAAGAGUCACUUUUAAAUUUAACCACCUAAAAAAAAGAAAUUCAAAAUAACCACCCAUUAAAUUAAAUUUUCAUACAGAUAACCACCCAUUUUGAAAAUCCGGUGGAAAUUUAAGACAUUGGGCCCACCCAAAGGCUAAUUACGGCUACUUUUCCCUUUGUAAUUGAAAUUGUUCACGAUUUUUUCAGAGUAAACACUUCCCCAAAAUUAAACCCACAAAUCUCCUUCAAUUUCUUCAAAAUUUGCAGCGAAAUCAAAUCCCCUAGUUGCAGACGAAUCCCCCAUACAUACAGCAGUUGUAAUCGCAGCAGAUGUUCAUGUAAGCGCUGUGCAAUGAUGGGUCUGAAUUAUUUGGAGAGAAAUACUGCUUGGAGGGUUUCCUAUAUGAAAAUAACACUUGCUCAUUGUAUUUUUCUUUUUUUAUAUAUAAAAAAAAAGUUGCAUUUAUUUCCGAGGGAGAACAUGGAUUAUUCACUUGAAUUAUUUAAAGUUCUAGAGGAAGCUUAAUGUUUGUACAAAGUAUGUUGCAAAUGUAAUGAAGGAGUUGGAGGGCCAGCGUAUAUGAUAUGGCUGCUUGAUACCCCGUAUUUCCUGCUUGCAUAUGUUCCAAGCAGGUUGAACUGUUGUACUUACUGAAUUCUGAAGUAUUAAUGGACUGAUGGUAUGUAAUUUUGUA